UGGGAAUCUAUAAAGCUUGUUUUAUUGCCAAGGACAUGCAGCAAGAUCUGCAUUUUGCUGUUGUAAACUAUCCUUUAUUUAAGACAUUUUAAAACAGGAUAGACUUUGAAAUGAUUUCUUUACUGCUGAAUUGUCAACAGGUGACACUCACUGCAGCUCUGCACACCUAAAUGCAAGUUUAUACUGGCACGGCAGUGGAAGUUGACACAUCCAUUAAGAGCGUAUCUGAGCGAGGAGCAGCCUUCUGCUGUCUGCAGGAAAACCAGCUCUGGAAAAACGGAAUUAAGGUCCAAGGAUGUUCACUGAGUAUUAAGAGAAAACAAAUGGAGCUAGAAUUCUACCAUCUUCCGACCCGCACAGAGGAAAACUGCUGAUGAAAACCUCUUUUUGAAGUGAUCCAAGCACCAUUAUGGUAAAAAAGAUCCCUACGUGAUCUUACAGUGUAUAGGAACUGCAAGUGCUCUCAUCUGCAAUGUAUAUAGUGUCUUGCAAAAAAAAAAGAAAGAAAUGUACUUUUUGUACUGUUAUGUUUCAGUCAAUUUCAAGUCUAAUUAAUUCGGCUUCUAAAGAAUUUUUUUUUUCCUAUACGUAAGCGCGGGCUCUUCCAGUCCAACCAAAAUGCUUCCAAUUCAGUGCUUUGAAAACAUCCCAAAAUCUCAUCCUUUCGGCAUCACUACCAAACUGUGAGUGCUGUUAGCU
ensembl:lncRNA